AUACAGAGGGUGCGAGCGUUAAUCGGAUUUACUGGGCGUAAAGCGCGCGUAGGUGGUUAAUUAAGUCAAAUGUGAAAUCCCCGAGCUUAACUUGGGAAUUGCAUUCGAUACUGGUUAGCUAGAGUAUGGGAGAGGAUGGUAGAAUUCCAGGUGUAGCGGUGAAAUGCGUAGAGAUCUGGAGGAAUACCGAUGGCGAAGGCAGCCAUCUGGCCUAAUACUGACACUGAGGUGCGAAAGCAUGGGGAGCAAACAGGAUUAGAUACCCUGGUAGUCCAUGCCGUAAACGAUGUCUACUAGCCGUUGGGGGAUUUGAUCCUUUAGUGGCACAGCUAACGCGAUAAGUAGACCGCCUGGGGAGUACGGUCGCAAGACUAAAACUCAAAUGAAUUGGCGGGG
rnacentral:rRNA from 1 species